AGAACGAACGCUGGCGGCAGGCCUCAAACAUGCAAGUCUAGGGGGUGUAGCAAUACAUCACCGGCGGACGGGUGCGUAACACGUGGGAAUAUACCUUUUGGUUCGGAACAACGCAGGGAAACUUGCGCUAAUACCGAAUGUGCCCUUACGGGGAAAGAUUUAUCGCCAAAGGAUUAGCCCGCGUAGGAUUAGCUAGUUGGUGAGGUAAUGGCUCACCAAGGCUCCGAUCCUUAGCUGUUCUGAGAGGAAGAUCAGCCACACUGGGACUGAGACACGGCCCAGACUCCUACGGGAGGCAGCAGUUGGGAAUCUGGACAAUGGGGAACCCUGAUCCAGCCAUGCCGCGUGAGUGAUGAAGGCCUUCGGGUUGUAAAACUCUUUCGACGGGACGAUAAUGACGGUACCCGUAGAAGAAGCUCCGGCUAACUUCGUGCCAGCAGCCGC
rnacentral:rRNA from 1 species